CUGCCCACCUAAAGAAUUCUUGCCUGGGGAUUAUUAGUAGCCUCUUUCCUGCAAGUCUUUUGCAGUCUUCACCUGAACCUGCCUUA